rnacentral:snRNA from 1 species
GGAUGUGAGGGCGAUCUGGCUGUGACAUCUGUCAUCCCAUUGAUCGCCAGGGUUGAUUCAGCUGAUCUGGCUGGCUAGGCGGGUGUCCCCUUGCUCCCUCACCGCUCCAUGUGCAUCCCUCCCAAGACUGGGUGCUCGGUUGAAGAAGACGGCCUUCCCUUCGGUAGAGGGUAUAUGAGUAGCUGUGCUCCCCUGUUAGAACCUCCAAACAAGCUCUCAAAUUCUCUUUAUCUUUAUCUUUCACCAUCUGAAACUGAUUUAGGUAAACAAUCGGUAGCGCAUCUCUAAAAACUGUUAUCAGUGUCCUGUUAGCACUG